rnacentral:tRNA from 1 species
AAAAUCGUGAUGGUUCAAGUCCCUCUAUCCCC